rnacentral:tRNA from 1 species
UACCCUGUGGCUUAGUUGGCUAUAGUGUUCGACUGUUAAUUGGAAGGUCGAAAGUUUGAGCCUCUCUGGGGCAG